rnacentral:rRNA from 1 species
AACGAACGCUGGCGGCAGGCUUAACACAUGCAAGUCGAGCGCCCCGCAAGGGGAGCGGCAGACGGGUGUGUAACGCGUGGGAACGUACCCUUUGCUACGGAAUAGCUCCGGGAAACUGGAAUUAAUACCGUAUGUGCCCUACGGGGGAAAGAUUUAUCGGCAAAGGAUCGGCCCGCGUUGGAUUAGCUAGUUGGUGGGGUAAUGGCCUACCAAGGCGACGAUCCAUGGCUGGUCUGAGAGGAUGAUCAGCCACAUUGGGACUGAGACACGGCCCAAACUCCUACGGGAGGCAGCAGUGGGGAAUAUUGGACAAUGGGCGCAAGCCUGAUCCAGCCAUGCCGCGUGAGUGAUGAAGGCCUUAGGGUUGUAAAGCUCUUUCACCGGAGAAGAUAAUGACGGUAUCCGGAGAAGAAGCCCCGGCUAACUUCGUGCCAGCCGCCGCGGUAACAC